CUAUUCCUCUCAUAAUGGCCGAUCAUUUACUUGUGAAAACCGUUCAUUGUCGAUGUUGAAUGUUAAAUUGAGAAACCGUCAUUUGAAUGUCUUCCAUUUGAAUGUCCACCCUCACAGUCUGUAUUCUUCAAAAGGCAUUUUAUGUUUUCCAUUUUAUGUGAAACCCUCAUUAUUCUUUGAUUUCAUCCCAAUCUCUCAUCUCUUUCCUAUUUUUCCUAUUACAAAUCUGCAACCAAGAGUCUCUCAAGUUUCAACACACCCGCCACACCCCUUUGUUCGAACUGCUUGUGGUCCAGCGACAAAGAGAGGCGCAAUAUCGGCUAGGGUUUCAAGCACGGUUGACUUUCCGGCGGCUUAAUACGACCCCUCUCCGACAAUCGUCACUGAAACUUUUUGUUUCUUCUCUUGCCUUUGGUUCUGUUCAGAUCAGUAUAAAUUAAUUUUGGGAUUUAAUUUAAUUUGGUCUUCGAUCUCAGGUGGUUGCAUUUGUAAAUUGAAGCCAUUUUGGAGACUCUGGAAUAGUACAGGAAGUGACGGUCAUGGAAUAAUAGGUGUGUUGGAGGCUAAUUUUGUAGAACCAGCUCAUGAUAAACAAGGAUUCGAGCGCACCAUUGUUCUUUCAAGACUUGAAACACGUCUUAUUCAGAUGCAGAAGACAUAUUGAAGAUGACUAUAUGCAUGAGACUUCUUCUAAAAGGAAGAAUCAUUUCUCACAAUAUACUCCACAUUAUUUAUUCAAUUUUGUGUGGUUCAAGAUUAUAUCCUCUUUUCUACUGAUCAAGGUUUGAACUCAAAUGGAGGGUGUAGUUCAGUUGGAAUUUGGAGAUGAUGAAGAUGAGUUUAGAAUUUAUUGUGGAGAUGAGGAUUAGUUCGAAGAAAUGUCGAUUGUUGGGGAUAUGGAUGACAGCGGUGGUUUGGGUUUCUGGUAGCAACAGCGAAGACGAAGAGGGGGGUGGUGGUGAUGUCUACAGUGAUGAUGAUGGUUGUGUUUGACAUAGAGAAUGAUGGUGGUGGUUGUGAUUAAUGGUGAUGGAGACAGUGUCAUACGGUUCCAAUCAUGGUGGAUGCCUGCGGCGAAGACACUCUCCGCCUAAACCGAAGAACAAGCUAAAAGACAAAAACUCCAACACCCGCAGCAGCAUGCCCGCCUGCCACCCGUUCAACAACUGGGUAAAGCCAAGUUCGUUCUUAGGUCUGGACUGGCGGUCAUACCCAUCCCAUGGGUAAUACAGGUCGUAAACUAUUAAUAGUCUCAACUUUCAGUGAUUACGGAAUAGUUAUCAUUGAUCUGAUUUGUAGAAUGUUCAAAAUCACGGUUGAUGUGUUUAUCAGAAGGGUCUACCGUCUAAUAUACAUGUUUAUUAUUGCGGAUAUUACAUGAUGUGAAUUAAUAUAUUUAACUAACACAAGUUUAAUGUAUAAAAUUUGAGGAUGUAGAUGAAAGCUGUAGAAGUUUGGUCUGAUAAAACAUGAUAUGUGUAGUAUUUUAAUACGCAUAUGUGAUCUGCUAUUUGUUUUUUUGUGCAGAUUAACACUCAUAAAGUGAGCGAUCUUUCGCUACGAGGCUUCUGAGCGAAACGUAAGGGAGUUCUUUUCCUUUUCGGGAGAUAUUGUUUAUGUUGACACACCAAGGUGUUGGUGUUUCAAGAUUUCCGAGUGUGUCUCUUCUUCUCUUAUGCAGGAUCUGGUGAUCGGUAGCAAUCCGACAACAAGAGCGAGUUAAACAUAGUGAUGACCGAAAACAAGACGAGGGUGAUUGUCCCAGCGAUCCACCCUAGUUGAGCAAAACACCAUGCUAAUGACAACACUCCUGACCCAAUCACCGCAGUUAUUAUAUGUGCGGUUGCACUCUUCCAAGUCCCUUUAUCAACAAACGAUAAGUAAAGUAAAACAGAUGUAACAAAAACAUGCACAAAUGUUGAGAUCAACAUACCCGUCCGUUUUACCCUGCCAUCGUCGUCGAACUUCUCGCUAUCAAGGUACCCGCUUUCCACGGUCGAAAGACUUGAGCAAUUUUGCAUUCUUAGACUAGAAUUAAAAGAAAAUGAGUUGGUUAUAUGGCUGCCUGAAUUUGAUCCCUCAUUUAGGGAAAUUCACUAUUUAUAGUGUUAAAAGGCGUUAGAAGGUGUUUUGGUGUGGGUACCCACCAAUUAAAUGCAA